rnacentral:lncRNA from 10 species
GAGGACUUUUAGGAUGGUGAAGCUACCCAGUGAGAGACUACAAUGAGAUAAUUGGUCUUUCACAUUCCUCGUGCUGUCACCAAAAAUAACAGAGCAACAGCAGGGUGGAGGAAGAGCACCAGCACGGUGGAGGAAGAGCACCAACAUGGCAGAUAAAGAGCACCAACAUGGCGGAGGAAGAGCACCAACAUGGCGGAGAAAGAGCACCAACAUGGCAGAGGAAAAGCACCAACAUGGCGGAGGAAGAACACCAACAUGGCGGAGGAAGAACACCAACAUGGCGGAGAAACAGCACCAACAUGGCGGAUGAAGAGCACCAACAUGAAGCUAACCGCGUUCUCUUCACAGUUUGCCUUUCUUCCUCUUCUUCGUUGCUUUGACCGUCCUGCACAUAUCCAUUCUUAUGUCCAUCACCAAGACCUGAAAACCUCCACUGACUGGCUUCCCUACAGACUGAGAAUAUGGAAAAGCUUAUAAAUCACAGCUGUGC